rnacentral:rRNA from 1 species
AACGAACGCUGGCGGCAGGCUUAACACAUGCAAGUCGAACGCCCCGCAAGGGGAGUGGCAGACGGGUGAGUAACGCGUGGGAACGUGCCCUUCGCUUCGGAAUAGCCCCGGGAAACUGGGAGUAAUACCGAAUACGCCGUAUUGGGAAAGAUUUAUCGGCGAAGGAUCGGCCCGCGUUAGAUUAGCUAGUUGGCGGUGUAAUGGACCACCAAGGCUACGAUCUAUAGCUGGUCUGAGAGGAUGAUCAGCCACACUGGGACUGAGACACGGCCCAGACUCCUACGGGAGGCAGCAGUGGGGAAUCUUGGACAAUGGGCGCAAGCCUGAUCCAGCCAUGCCGCGUGAGUGAAGAAGGCCUUAGGGUUGUAAAACUCUUUCGCCGGAGAAGAUAAUGACGGUAUCCGGAGAAGAAGCCCCGGCUAACUUCGUGCCAGCAGCCGCCGUAA